rnacentral:rRNA from 1 species
CCUACGGGUGGCAGCAGUGAGGAAUAUUGGUCAAUGGACGCAAGUCUGAACCAGCCAAGUAGCGUGCAGGAUGACUGCCCUAUGGGUUGUAAACUGCUUUUAUACGGGGAUAAACUUCAUUACGUGUAUUGUGUUGAAGGUACCGUAUGAAUAAGGAUCGGCUAAGUCCGUGCCAGCAGCCGCGGUAAUACGGAGGAUCCGAGCGUUAUCCGGAUUUAUUGGGUUUAAAGGGAGCGUAGGCGGACGCUUAAGUGAGUUGUGAAAUUUCGCGGCUCAACCGUGGAACUGCAGCUAAUACUGGGUGUCUUGAGUGCAGCAGAGGUAGGCGGAAUUCGUGGUGUAGCGGUGAAAUGCUUAGAGAUCACGAAGAACUCCGAUUGCGAAGGCAGCUUACCGUACUGUAACUGACGCUGAGGCUCGAAGGUGUGGGUAGCAAACAGGAUUAGAUACCCGAGUAGUC